rnacentral:misc_RNA from 1 species
AGCAGCCGCGGUAAUUCCAGCUCCAAUAGCGUAUAUUAAAGUUGUUGCAGUUAAAAGCUCGUAGUUGAAUUUCGGGAUUGACGUGAUGGUCGUGCCUUACGGGGUAUGAACUGUUGCUGUUGAUUUCUCACCUUCUGGAGAAACUUGAUGUCCUUAAUUGGGUGUCUUGCGGAUCCAGGACCUUUACCUUGAAAAAUUAGAGUGUUUAAAGCAGGCAUUUUGCUCGAAUACAUUAGCAUGGAAUAAUAGAAUAGGACGGCAUGGUUCUAUUUUGUUGGUUUCUAGGAUCACCGUAAUGAUUAAUAGGGAUAGUUGGGGGCAUUAGUAUUCAAUUGUCAGAGGUGAAAUUCUUGGAUUUAUUGAAGACUAAACUACUGCGAAAAGCAU